GUCUCAGUUCGGACUGUGGUCUGCAACCCGACCACACGAAGCUGGAAUCGCUAGUAAUCGCGAAUCAGAAUGUCGCGGUGAAUACGUUCCCGGGUCUUGUACACACCGCCCGUCAAACCAUGAGAGUUGGCAACACCCGAAGUCGGUAGUCUAACUGCAAGGAGGACGCCGCCGAAGGUGGGGUUGAUGAUUAGGGUUAAGUCGUAACAAGGUAUC
rnacentral:rRNA from 1 species